AGAGUUUGAUCCUGGCUCAGGAUGAACGCUAGCUACAGGCUUAACACAUGCAAGUCGAGGGGAAACGAUAUUGGAAGCUUGCUUCCGAUAGGCGUCGACCGGCGUACGGGUGAGUAACGCGUAUCCAACCUGGCCCACCACUUGGGGAUAACCUUGCGAAAGUAAGACUAAUACCCAAUGACGUCUCUAGAAGGACAUCUGAAAGAGAUUAAAGAUUUAUCGGUGAUGGAUGGGGAUGCGUCUGAUUAGCUUGUUGGCGGGGUAACGGCCCACCAAGGCGACGAUCAGUAGGGGUUCUGAGAGGAAGGUCCCCCACAUUGGAACUGAGACACGGUCCAAACUCCUACGGGAGGCAGCA
rnacentral:rRNA from 1 species